GUCUUCGUGGUGCAACGGUAGCACACUCGGCCCGUAUUCGAGAGGUCCGGGUUCGAGUCAGGGCGACGGCA
rnacentral:tRNA from 1 species